UUCCUGAUGGCUCAGAUGGUAAAGAACCUGCCUGCAAUGCAGGAGACCUGGGUUUGAUCCCCGAUCUGAAGA
rnacentral:tRNA from 1 species